AAUAUUGGACAAUGGGGGCAACCCUGAUCCAGCCAUGCCGCGUGUGUGAAGAAGGUCUUCGGAUUGUAAAGCACUUUAAGUUGGGAGGAAGGGCUUUAGGCUAAUACCCUGAAGUUUUGACGUUACCAACAUAAUAAGCACAGGCUAACGCUGUUCCAGCAGCCGCGGUAAUACAGAGGGUGCAAGGUGUAAUCGGAAUUCCUGGGCGUAAAGCGCGCGUAGUUAGUUCAGUAAGAUGGGUGUGAAAUCCCCGGGCUUAACCUGGGAACUGCUUUCAUAACUGCUGAGCUAGAGUACGGUAGAGGGUAGUGGAAUUUCCUGUGUAGCGGUGAAAUGCGUAGAUAUAGGAAGGAACACCAGUGGCGAAGGCGACUACCUGGACUGAUACUGACACUGAGGUGCGAAAGCGUGGGGAGCAAACA
rnacentral:rRNA from 1 species